AUUGAACGCUAGCGGGAUGCUUUACACAUGCAAGUCGAACGGCAGCGCGGACUUCGGUCUGGCGGCGAGUGGCGAACGGGUGAGUAAUGUAUCGGAACGUGCCCAGUAGCGGGGGAUAACUACGCGAAAGCGUAGCUAAUACCGCAUACGCCCUACGGGGGAAAGCCGGGGAUCGUAAGACCUCGCACUAUUGGAGCGGCCGAUAUCGGAUUAGCUAGUUGGUGAGGUAACGGCUCACCAAGGCGACGAUCCGUAGCUGGUUUGAGAGGACGACCAGCCACACUGGGACUGAGACACGGCCCAGACUCCUACGGGAGGCAGCAGUGGGGAAUUUUGGACAAUGGGGGCAACCCUGAUCCAGCCAUCCCGCGUGUGCGAUGAAGGCCUUCGGGUUGUAAAGCACUUUUGGCAGGAAAGAAACGUCGCGGGCUAAUACCCCGUGGAACUGACGGUACCUGCAGAAUAAGCACCGGCUAACUACGUG
rnacentral:rRNA from 1 species